GACGAACGCUGGCGGCGCGCCUAACACAUGCAAGUCGAACGAAGUUAGAGAGAGCUUGCUUUUUCUAACUUAGUGGCGAACGGGUGAGUAACGCGUGAGGAACCUGCCUCAAAGAGGGGGACAACAGUUGGAAACGACUGCUAAUACCGCAUAAGCCCACAGCUCCGCAUGGAGCAGAGGGAAAAGGAGCAAUCCGCUUUGAGAUGGCCUCGCGUCCGAUUAGCUAGUUGGUGAGGUAACGGCCCACCAAGGCGACGAUCGGUAGCCGGACUGAGAGGUUGAUCGGCCACAUUGGGACUGAGACACGGCCCAGACUCCUACGGGAGGCAGCAGUGGGGAAUAUUGCACAAUGGGGGAAACCCUGAUGCAGCGACGCCGCGUGGAGGAAGAAGGUCUUCGGAUUGUAAACUCCUGUUGUUGGGGAAGAUAAUGACGGUAC
rnacentral:rRNA from 1 species